UAUUUUUCAAGUUUUAGCAGAUAUAUCUCAUAAUACCCAAAAACACCCCCAAGUGACAUUUCAUCAAGCAACUAACAUGCAAUAUCCCUGGCUUCUAGAAUUUGCAAGCCGUAAGAUUUCUCCACUCUUUACCACCAGAGAGUA